rnacentral:sRNA from 2 species
CCGCCGCUCAUUGGGGAGUAGCCGCCCUGCUCGAUGUCAUGCGCCAUGCUUUCAAUCAGGUUUCAGGAAAGCUCGCACCGCACAUCGUUCGCGGGGGCGUCUGUCAACAAACUUGGCCUGUACGGCCAUGGCAGACGCAGCCUUUGGCCUGGCGAGACCGAUGAUCCAUAGCGUGCCGCGACAGGGCC